UUACGGCCACAUCACGUUGAAUCACCGGUUCUCGUAUGAUCACCGAUGUUAAGCAACGACGAAUCUGGUCAGUACCUAGGUUAGUGACCACUUGGUAAUUCCAGAUACUGUAAG